rnacentral:rRNA from 1 species
AUUGAACGCUGGCGGCAGGCUUAACACAUGCAAGUCGAGCGAGCGGCUGACGGGUGAGUAAUGUCUGGGAAACUGUCUGAUGGAGGGGGAUAACUACUGGACACGGUAGCUAAUACCGCAUACCCUCAGAUGUGCUCAGAUGGGAUUAGCUAGUAGGUGGGGUAAUGGCUCACCUAGGCGACGAUCCCUAGCUGGUCUGAGAUGAUUACGAGCCACACUGGAACUGAGAAACGGUCCAGACUCCUACGGGAGGAAGCAGUGGGGAAUAUUGCACAAUGGGCGCAAGCCUGAUGCAGCCAUGCCGCGUGUGUGAAGAAGGCCGUCGGGUUGUAAAGCACUUUCAGCGAGGAGGCGUUACUCGCAGAAGAAGCACCGGCUAACUCCGGGCCAGCAGCCGCGGUAAUUC